CCUGGAUUUAGGUGAAUUUACUUUUUUACCGAACAAAACUGUCGAACGGACGGCCACCCAGAAGAGAAGUGUGCUGCUGGUUAACCUAUUGAUCCCAAUUAGAACGUUGCGGUUAACCACAGACACUUCUCAAUUAAAACCGAAUACAGGGUGGUCGUCGUUCAUAUGUCGACCACGAGGCGGCAGCCAUUUUAAACCAUGCGAAAGACCAGCG